GGCUGGCUGCACAAAGAUUGUGCUGGAAAAUGCCAUAAAUAUAUCAACAAUGAUUCAUUCAGCUGUGGAUGCACAGAUAUGAAUGACAGACCAAGGAUCAUGGAUGCUGUUGAGAAAGGAGGGAUUCUGGCAGUGUUUUCCAAGGAUCAGAUCAAGAGCAUAUACGAUGAUCUGAUUAACGGAAGCAUCCGUUCCAACAGGAUGUACAUAUGGCAUAACCCAUCCACCUCAAUUAACCUCAAACAGCACUUAAAGCUAAGGAC